ACAAAAGAACUGCCAAAUAAUGUGUUUCAAGAUCUAAUAAGCAAGCUAGGAAUGGAAGAUAUCCAUUCACCCGCUUGAGGGGGAGUGUUGGCUGAUAGAGGAUAUUCUCCAUAUCAAGAUUUGAUCCCUUAAGAUCUUAAAGAUAAUUGUUGUAAUCUAGAAUAUCUUUUUCUUCUUUUUAGUAAAAUAUAUGAUUUUAUAGAAUCCCAGAUUUCAUGGGAUCUAGGUGAUUCAAUCUCUCAUGUAUAUAAAGCCUUGUAUAUGACAUAG
rnacentral:lncRNA from 1 species